rnacentral:rRNA from 1 species
UACAGAGGCCACGAGCGUUAGGCGGAAUCACUGGGCUUAAAGCGUGUGUAGGUGGAUCGGUAAGUACCUUGUGAAAUCCCACGACUCAAUCGUGGAACUGCUUGGUAUACUGCCAGUCUUGAGGCACUCAGGGGCGAGCGGAACAGAUGGUGGAGCGGUGAAAUGCGUAGAUAUCAUCUGGAACGCCAAUGGUGAAGACAGCUCGCUGGGGGUGUACUGACACUGAGACACGAAAGCCAGGGGAGCAAACGGG